CCUACGGGAGGCAGCAGUGGGGAAUAUUGGACAAUGGGCGAAAGCCUGAUCCAGCCAUGCCGCGUGUGUGAAGAAGGCCUUCGGGUUGUAAAGCACUUUCAGUGGGGAAGAAAGCCUUGGGGCUAAUACCCUCGAGGAAGGACAUCACCCACAGAAGAAGCACCGGCUAACUCCGUGCCAGCAGCCGCGGUAAUACGGAGGGUGCGGGCGUUAAUCGGAAUUACUGGGCGUAAAGCGCGCGUAGGCGGUCUGAUAAGCCGGUUGUGAAAGCCCCGGGCUCAACCUGGGAACGGCAUCCGGAACUGUCAGGCUAGAGUGCAGGAGAGGAAGGUAGAAUUCCCGGUGUAGCGGUGAAAUGCGUAGAGAUCGGGAGGAAUACCAGUGGCGAAGGCGGCCUUCUGGACUGACACUGACGCUGAGGUGCGAAAGCGUGGGUAGCAAACAGGAUUAGAUACCCCUGUAGUC
rnacentral:rRNA from 1 species